GUGUCUUCCUAAGAGCAGCAGGAGGAACAGCUGCAGCAUUGAACCUGCACAGGAUAGCGGCAUUACCAGUGUGUUACCAACAGCGCGUGUGCUGGUCGGACCGGCGAUGUGUCAUUUCCGGAAGCGCCGGCGAGACAUGACCGGAAACCGAGCUACGGCGUCUGAGGCGGCGGACGAGAUCACUCACUGGAAGAUAUACAUUUGGGAAAAAGUUUAAGAUGAAGAAAAGAGGGGCAACCUACCACUCCUGCAAUUUUUCCUAGACCUAUGUGACCAAAUAAAAAAAUGUGCUCCUUU